rnacentral:rRNA from 1 species
CCUACGGGUGGCUGCAGUGGGGAAUAUUGGACAAUGGGGGAAACCCUGAUCCAGCCAUGCAGCGUGUGUGAAGAAGGCCCUCGGGUUGUAAAGCACUUUCAGUGAGGAAGAACGCCUGGUGGUUAAUACCCAUCAGGAAAGACAUCACUCACAGAAGAAGCACCGGCUAACUCCGUGCCAGCAGCCGCGGUAAUACGGAGGGUGCGAGCGUUAAUCGGAAUUACUGGGCGUAAAGCGCGCGUAGGUGGCUUGAUAAGCCGGUUGUGAAAGCCCCGGGCUCAACCUGGGAACGGCAUCCGGAACUGUCAAGCUAGAGUGCAGGAGAGGAAGGUAGAAUUCCCGGUGUAGCGGUGAAAUGCGUAGAGAUCGGGAGGAAUACCAGUGGCGAAGGCGGCCUUCUGGACUGACACUGACACUGAGGUGCGAAAGCGUGGGUAGCAAACAGGAUUAGAUACCCGUGUAGUC